CUCUUCACUUUCUCCCUCUCGCGACUCCUUGUUCUCUCUCACCGUUUUCUCUCUCCUCUCGACAAAACCACCAUCGAAGCUCAAAGAACCGCUGAUCAACCUCCUUCAUCGCCGGUGUAUUGUUGAUUUAAGCAAAAAAAAAAAGCACGACAAACUAGCAAACAAUCCAGAGAAUCCACAAGACUGCUUGUGCACGCUAUUUCUUUUGCAGGGAGGGUUGUUGCGGGUCAGUCUGGGGUGGGCAGUGGUUCUGCUAUGUUUGGUUGCUGCUAGAAGUUUUGCGUGUGUGGUGUUAAUACAAGUGAUGGUCGUAAAUG